AUUGAACGCUGGCGGCAGGCCUAACACAUGCAAGUCGGGCGAGUGGCGGACGGGUGAGUAAUGUCUGGGGAUCUGCCUGAUGGCGGGGGAUAACUACUGGAAACGGUAGCUAAUACCGCAUACCAUCAGAUGAACCCAUAUGGGAUUAGCUUGUAGGUGUGGUAACGGCUCACCUAGGCGACGAUCCCUAGCUGGUCUGAGAGGAUGAUCAGCCAUCCUGGGACUGAGACACGGCCCAGACUCCUACGGGAGGCAGCAGGGGGGAAUAUUGCACAAGGGGCGCAAGCCUGAUGCAGCCAUGCCGCGUGUAUGAAGAAGGCCUUCGGGUUGUAAAGUACUUUCAGUCGGGAGGCGUUACCCACAGAAGAAGCACCGGCUAACUCCGUGCCAGCAGCCGCGGUAAUUC
rnacentral:rRNA from 1 species